rnacentral:rRNA from 1 species
AGGAUUAACGCUGGCGGCGUGCAUGAAACAUGCAAGUCGAGCGCGGUGUGAUGCGGGGUAACCCAAUUCACAUCUAGCGGCGAACGGGUGAGUAACACGUGAGCAACCUACCUUUGAGUUGGGGAUAGCCCUGGGAAACCAGGAUUAAUACCCGAUGUGGUCACAACAGGACAUCCUGAUGUGAGUAAAGGCGCAAGCCGCUCAAUGACGGGCUCGCGGCCUAUUAGCUUGUUGGUGGGGUAACGGCCUACCAAGGCGAUGAUGGGUAGCUGGUCUGAGAGGACGAUCAGCCACACUGGGACUGAGACACGGCCCAGACUCCUACGGGAGGCAGCAGUUAGGAAUUUUCCGCAAUGGGCGAAAGCCUGACGGAGCAACGCCGCGUGAGUGAUGAAGACCUUAGGGUUGUAAAGCUCUGUCGGAGGGGAAGAACACAAUGACGGUACCCUCCAAGAAAGCCCGGCUAACUACGUGCCAGUAGCCGCGGUAA